ACCAGUGCACCUUCCUGCAGCUCAGCAUGGGAGCAACCCUGGUCAUACACUGUGACACAGCUGAGGACAGGACGUCUAGAUCCUUGGGGCUGAGUCCAACUCCUAACCAUGUCAUUUUGGACAAAAGCUUACUCUGUACCUGAUCGCUCAUCCAAGAAACACAGGCAGUAGGAUGAGUCACCGAGCAGGACAGUACUACACUGUGAAGCCAAUGCCAGAGCGCCAAGGAGAAUAAAGGAGCCAGA